rnacentral:lncRNA from 1 species
UGAGCAACCUUUUGAAUCAAUAACUCAAUUUCAAUUGAGAAGAAAAAAAGCAAUCAAAAUUUAAAUGGAAAGCUUGGAUACGCAAGAGUGUGGUGGAUAUAAUGUGCAUUUUUUGCAUGAACUUUUAGACGAAUAUGAAUGCCCUGUGUGUAAAAUGGCUCUUCGUGAACCAAUUCUAACACUGUGUGGUCAUCGACUUUGUUUUUCAUGCUCAGAAGAAAUAAAAAAAAGAAAUAAUGGAGUUUUAAUUUGCCCAUUAGACAAAACCAUUUUAAGUUCUGA